CCGGCAAGCCUGUGUCAGCAACCCCUGCCAUGACCCCUCCUUUUUGUCAGACACCGAUGUCUCCUGUGUUGGGGUGGAUGGUACACCCCGCAGUAGCCCCUUCCCUACACUCCUGCAUGUUGGUUCACACAUACUCUCACGUUUUGUUGUUUCUUCUACUUGUCCCAUUAACCUCUUGGGUGCUGAUGUUCUUUCUCGGCUCCAGGGUCCAGUUAACUACACCCUUAUCACAGACAGACACCACUGUACUCUGCUCACUCCCCAUCUUGUUGAACCUAACUGACAAUACAGGGAGUGCACGGGUCACACCCCCCCCCAGUGCUCUGGAUCGUAUCCCCCAAGAACUUUGGUCCACCGGCCCGGAUGAUAUUGGACGCUUACAUGUACCCCCCGUCCUGGUCCAGCUCCUGCCUGGAGCACUUCCUCUUCGUAGACCUCAGUAUCCUCUGAAGCCAGCACAAGCUGAAACCAUCACCAAACAAGUUGAGUCUCUGCUUGCCAAAGGUGCCCUCACCAAGUGCACAUCUCCAUGCAACACCCCACUUUUCCCUGUUCAAAAGCGAACUGUUAAGGGCCAACCCGACCAGUACCGCAUGGUACAGGACCUCCGUGCUGUUAAUGAAGUAACCAUAAAGGACACUGCUAUUGUUCCAAACCCCCAUACCCUUUUGUCCCAGGUGCCACCCAAUUCAACAAUUUUUUUCUGUAGUGGAUCUAGCUAAUGCCUUUUUCAGUGUCCCCCUUGACCCUUCCUGCCAUUUUCUCUUCACCUUCACACAUGAAGGACAACAAUAUACCUGGACUGUUAUGCCUCAGGGAGCUCAGAACUCUCCCACACAGUUUGCUCAUGCCAUGUCUCUAGUUUUGGAUCCCUGGCAGAAAUCUCAUCUGGAUGUUAUUCUACUUCAAUAUGUUGAUGACCUCCUUCUCUGUGCUCCUAAUUUGCUUAUUGCAGAGCGUGACUCAGAAGAUCUCCUAUGUUUCCUCGCUGCUGCAGGUUGCAAAACUUCCAAAUCCAAGCUGCAAUGGUGCCGGCCCUCUGUGGUCUUCUUGGGACAUUGUCUUUCCCAUGGCACCAGACAUCUAACUUCUCAGCGUGUACAAGCUAUUUUGCAACUCCCAUUACCUGCAACACAUCAGACUCUUCAUGCCUUCUUGGGUCUUAUCACAUACUGCAGGUCCUGGAUACCCGAAGCAUCAAAGCUCAUGCAGCCACUCUAUGAUGCCCUCAGGAGUGAGCCCUUUCACCUCACUGAAGAAACUAUCAUCUGUUUCCACAAUCUGAAAAGAGCUAUUGCUUCUGCACCUGCCUUGGGCCUACCCAACUACCAACUUCCUUUCAAUCUGUUUGUCUCUGAAAAAUCAGGACAUGCUUCCGGAGUCCUCACCCAGAAACAUGGAUCAAGACAACGACCUAUUGGCUAUUUUUCCUGCAUGCUUGACCCUGUUGCGAGAGGUAGUCCCUUUUGCCUCAGAGCGGUGUUUGCCGCCAGCGCCCUCCUGGACAAGACCAAUGAUUUUGUUCUUGGCCACCACCUCACAGUGUUGGCCCCUCAUGACAUUACUGCAAUCCUGCAACAAACUCAACCUAAGCACCUUUCUUCUCAAUGUUACCUUCGUCUACAAACAUCCUUACUGUUACCUGACAAUGUGAAACUUCAGCGAUGUCUCUCCCUGUACCCGGCCACUCUUCUGCCACUUCCCAAGGGGGGAAUUGUGCAUUACUGGUAUAGCCUGGACAUCAACCCAGAGGUUUGAGCAAUUGUGCAUUACUGGUAUAGCCUGGACAUCAACCCAGAGGUUUGAGCAGAUUUGCAGCUGCCUGCACUUGCACCCCCACAUAAUGAACAAUCAGAGGCCCUACUUCACUGCACCUUAUGGUUUAAAGACAGACCAGGCCCUGAUAUGAACUAUGAGGAAGAAUUAUUCCAGCUCAAGGAAAUUCCAAUUACCCUGACUGACUUGUUAUGGGACCCCACAGGUACCAUGCUCAUCUUAGUCCAUCUUCCAGAGAACAUGACACAUCUCUACCAUCAUUGGGAAACAGCUAUCCCACACAUAUCUCUCACCAGAUCCUCUGACACCUCAUGGAAAGACCUAGGCCCGAUGGCCAAACCUGGAGUCAAAUGAACCAAGAACAACUGACUUCUAUGGGGACCAGCAAAAAGACUAUUAACUACUGUACAGCAGGGUACCCUAGGUACCACACAGACGUCUGUGAGGACCCACUCAUCAUAGACUGUGACCCUGAUAUUUCCCCACUUAGCUGAUCAGGCCGCUAAGGAAGCAGCACAACAAGGAUGGGAAGUGGACAGAAGAGUGGCCACAGACGCAGUGCCCAUCUACACCAUGCAGACACUGCCUACGGAUCUUAGGCUUCUAAAGGAACAACCAGCUACUGCUACUCCCCAGGAGAAACAAAGUUGGAAGAACAAAGGAGCUGUACUCCGUGAUGAUGUUUACACUAUCAAUCUCAAGUUUUGCCUAUCCAGAAAUAUGUAUCCAGCGGUGGUCCAAUGGGCCCAUGGGCCAGCCCACCUGUCAAAACAUCUGAUGAACUCAUUGAUUGACAAGUAUUUUGAAACACCAGGCAUCACUACCUUAACACAGAAUUACUGUAAAUCUUGUACUAUAUGUGCUAAAUGCAAUCCUGGAGAGAUUAUAAAGACUGCACCUAAUCAUCUAGCUAAACCACAAUACCCCUUCCAGAGGAUCCAGAUUGAUCACAUUCAGAUGCCAAAGAGUGGACGUUAUGAAUAUGCAUUGGUCAUAGUGGACAUGUUUCCAGGAUGGC
rnacentral:lncRNA from 1 species